rnacentral:rRNA from 1 species
GAUGAACGCUGGCGGCGUGCCUAAUACAUGCAAGUCGAGCGAACGGACGAGAAGCUUGCUUCUCUGAUGUUAGCGGCGGACGGGUGAGUAACACGUGGAUAACCUACCUAUAAGACUGGGAUAACUUCGGGAAACCGGAGCUAAUACCGGAUAAUAUAUUGAACCGCAUGGUUCAAUAGUGAAAGACGGUCUUGCUGUCACUUAUAGAUGGAUCCGCGCUGCAUUAGCUAGUUGGUAAGGUAACGGCUUACCAAGGCAACGAUGCAUAGCCGACCUGAGAGGGUGAUCGGCCACACUGGAACUGAGACACGGUCCAGACUCCUACGGGAGGCAGCAGUAGGGAAUCUUCCGCAAAGGGCGAAAGCCUGACGGAGCAACGCCGCGUGAGUGAUGAAGGUCUUCGGAUCGUAAAACUCUGUUAUUAGGGAAGAACAUAUGUGUAAGUAACUGUGCACAUCUUGACGGUACCUAAUCAGAAAGCCACGGCUAACUACGUG